AACGCUAGCUACAGGCUUAACACAUGCAAGUCGAGGGGAAACGAUAUUGGAAGCUUGCCUCCGAUAGGCGUCGACCGGCGCACGGGUGAGUAACGCGUAUCCAACCUGCCCAUCACUUGGGAAUAACCUUGCGAAAGUAAGACUAAUGCCCAAUGAUAUCCCACGAAAGCAUCCGAAUGGGAUUAAAGAUUUAUCGGUGAUGGAUGGGGAUGCGUCUGAUUAGCUUGUUGGCGGGGUAACGGCCCACCAAGGCAACGAUCAGUAGGGGUUCUGAGAGGAAGGUCCCCCACAUUGGAACUGAGACACGGUCCAAACUCCUACAGGAGGCAGCAGUGAGGAAUAUUGGUCAAUGGGCAAGAGCCUGAACCAGCCAAGUAGCGUGCAGGAUGACGGCCCUAUGGGUUGUAAACUGCUUUUAUAAGGGAAUAAAGUGGGUCACGUGUGACUUUUUGCAUGUACCUUAUGAAUAAGGACCGGCUAAUUCCGUGCCAGCAGCCGCGGUAAUACGGAAGGUCCGGGCGUUAUCCGGAUUUAUUGGGUUUAAAGGGAGCGUAGGCCGGAGAUUAAGCGUGUUGUGAAAUGUAGAGGCUCAACCUCUGCACUGCAGCGCGAACUGGUCUUCUUGAGUACGCACAACGUGGGCGGAAUUCGUGGUGUAGCGGUGAAAUGCUUAGAUAUCACGAAGAACUCCGAUUG
rnacentral:rRNA from 1 species